UACAGAGGUCUCGAGCGUUGUUCGGAUUCAUUGGGCGUAAAGGGUGCGUAGGUGGCGUGGUAAGUCUGGUGUGAAAUCCCGGGGCUCAACCCCGGAACUGCACUCGAUACUGCCGUGCUUGAGGACUGGAGAGGAGACUGGAAUUUACGGUGUAGCGGUGAAAUGCGUAGAUAUCGUAAGGAAGACCAGUGGCGAAGGCGGGUCUCUGGACAGUUCCUGACGCUGAGGCACGAAGGUCAGGGGAGCAAACGGG
rnacentral:rRNA from 1 species